rnacentral:lncRNA from 1 species
CUAACUGCUAAUGGACAAGAUGUUAGGCCUUGAUCCCAAGAGAAACUGUACUCAAUUAGAACCCAGCAUCUCAGGAUGGCCUGUAGUGUACUCCAGUUCUGGGGGGGACUGAAUUUAGGAUCUUUUACCAUCAUCUGGAGUGUCUUGAGGAGCAUUCCAUCCAGAAAAGGGGACUGUUUCCCUGGAACAAAAACUUGAGCAACCAUCAGGUAAGGUAUUUUAUAAUAAUUUCUGUAGCACAGACAUAAAGCCAUGGCAGCCUAUCUGGGCUGCAGCGUGCCUGUAACUCAUCACGUGACCUUUAGAAGUCGUUAAUUCACUGGCUUUCUACAUCUUAAAAAAUGACAACAAAAACCCUUAUCCUAUCUUCCAAGGUUGUUG